rnacentral:rRNA from 1 species
GAAAUUCCAAUCGAACCCGGAGAUAGCUGGUUCUCCCCGAAAUAGCUUUAGGGCUAGCGUCGAGGUAGAGAGUUGCGUGAAGGUAGAGCACUGAAUAUGUGAUGGCCCCAUCUCGGGGUACUGAGCAUAAUCAAACUGCGAAUGUCACGGAAACAUACUCGGCAGUCAGACAGCGGGUGAUAAGGUCCGUUGUCAAGAGGGAAACAGCCCAGACCAUCAGCUAAGGUCCCAAAAUGUAUGCUAAGUGGAAAAGGAUGUGGAGAUGUACAGACAACUAGGAGGUUGGCUCAGAAGCAGCCAUCCUUUAAAGAGUGCGUAACAGCUCACUAGUCGAAUGACUCUGCGCCGAUAAUUUACCGGGGCUAAGCAUACUACCGAAGCUAUGGAUCCCAAGGGAUGGUAGGGGAGCGUUCCAUGAACGGAGAAGCGCGAUCGAGAGGACGCGUGGAGAUCAUGGAAGAGAGAAUGCCGGUGUGAGUAGCGGAACGUGGGUGAGAAUCCCACGCACCGAAAACCCAAGGUUUCCAGAGGAAGGUUCGUCCGCUCUGGGUAAGUCGGGACCUAAGGCGAGGCCGAGAGGCGUAGUCGAUGGACAACAGGUAGAGAUUCCUGUACUCAUAUAUAUGUGAAGGAAUGACGGAGAGAGGAAGCUGCAGCCAGCGGCUGGAAGAGCUGGUGCAAGCGAGAUAUCGGGAUGGCAGGCAAAUCCACCAUCCGAAACGAGAAGGCGUGAAGCGUACGGAAAGCUAAGGCGAGUACGGAAGGCAGUGGAGGAGCUUCCAAGAAAAGUUUCUAACGAAAGUAUAUGUGACCCGUACCGAAAAUGGACACACAUGGGUGAGGAGAGAAUCCUAAGGUGAGCGAGAGAACUAUAGCUAAGGAACUCUGCAAAAUGACUCCGUAACUUAGGGAGAAGGAGUGCUCAUAGAGAUAUGAGCCGCAGUGAAACGGCCCAAGCGACUGUUUACCAAAAACACAGCUCUCUGCUAAGCCGCAAGGCGAAGUAUAGGGGGUGACGCCUGCCCGGUGCUGGAAGGUUAAGGGGAGGGGUUAACGCAAGUGAAGCCCUGAACUGAAGCCCCAGUAAACGGCGGCCGUAACUAUAACGGUCCUAAGGUAGCGAAAUUCCUUGUCAGGUAAGUUCUGACCCGCACGAAAGGCGUAACGAUUUGGGCGCUGUCUCAGCUGUAGACUCGGUGAAGUCUUAGUACCUGUGAAGAUGCAGGUUACCCGCGACUAGACGGAAAGACCCCAUGGAGCUUCACUGCAGGUUGAUAUUGGGAUUUGAUGCAGCAUGUACAGGAUAGGUAGGAGGCAAAGAGAUGGAUACGCCAGUAUUCAAGGAGCCGCUGUUGGGAUACUACCCCUGUUGUAUUGGAUUUCUAACCGGACGACGUAAAGCCGUUGACGGGACAGUGUCAGUCGGGCAGUUUGACUGGGGCGGUCGCCUCCCAAAGAGUAACGGAGGCGCCCAAAGAUACCCUCAGCUUGGAUGGAAACCAAGCGCAGAGUGCAAAGGCAAAAGGGUGUUUGACUGCGAGACCUACAAGUCGAGCAGGGACGAAAGUCGGGCUUAGUGAUCCGGCGGUGCUGAAUGGAAAGGCCGUCGCUCAACGGAUAAAAGCUACCCUGGGGAUAACAGGCUGAUCUCCCCCAAG